CAAAAUCAUCACACGACACAACCAAAGCUCCAAAUCCAUGUUAUUCAUCAAAAACAUCUAAUAUUUAUAAAUGGAAACUUCUAAAAUUGUUAACAGAAUCAGAAACAAAGGUAUGAGUUAGCCGGAUCUAGUUGUAACGAUAUCAAAAACAUAUAAAUUACAAUAAACGGGUAAGAAUUGAAUUCACAUGGAAGCUCCUAUGCUCAACCUAUUCUCCAAGCUAUUUCUAUGGUGUUUCGG
rnacentral:lncRNA from 1 species